rnacentral:rRNA from 1 species
UACAGAGGUCUCAAGCGUUGUUCGGAUUCAUUGGGCGUAAAGGGUGCGUAGGUGGUGCUGUAAGUCAGGUGUGAAAUCUCGGGGCUCAACCCCGAAACUGCACUUGAUACUGCAGUGCUCGAGGACUGGAGAGGAGAUUGGAAUUCAUGGUGUAGCAGUGAAAUGCGUAGAUAUGCGGAGGAACACCGAUGGCGAAGGCAAUCCCCUGGACCUGUACUGACGCUCAUGCACGAAAGCGUGGGGAGCAAACAGG